rnacentral:RNase_P_RNA from 2 species
CGCCCGCGGAGGGGACGGGGGCGGCUCGGAGACGGCCGCCCUCUGGAACCUCCCGCCCGCCCGCGGAGCCGCCGGUGGGCCGCCGAAAGGCGGGGGUAAAAACCAGCCGGCGGUGCGGCCCCCAGACAGGGCCGAUGAGGCCGCGGCGAGGCCCGGGUAGGGGGCUAGAUCGAUACCCGAACAAAAGCGGGGGUAUGCCGCGGGCG